AGGGUGAUAUGGGACCUCCAGGGCCACCAGCCUUAACUGGUUCCAUAGGGAUACAAGGCCCCCAAGGUCCACCUGGGAAAGAAGGUCAAAGGGGAAGACGAGGGAAAACAGGACCCCCAGGAAAUCCAGGACCUCCUGGACCACCCGGACCUCCUGGGUUACAGGGACUACAACAGCCUUUUGGUGGAUACUUCAACAAGGGAACUGGUGAGCAUGGAGCUAGUGGCCCCAAAGGAGAAAAGGGUGACACUGGGCUGCCUGGAUUUCCAGGGUCCGUUGGCCCUAAAGGACACAAAGGAGAACCUGGGGAGCCUUUAACAAAAGGUGAAAAGGGAGAUAGAGGAGAACCAGGUCUACCAGGACCACAGGGAAUAUAGGGGGAACCUGGAGAUCCCGGUCCCCCUGGUUUAAUAGGAAGCCCAGGGCUAAAGG
rnacentral:lncRNA from 1 species